rnacentral:rRNA from 1 species
GGGUUGUGAGGUUAAGCGACUAAGCGUACACGGUGGAUGCCCUGGCAGUCAGAGGCGAUGAAGGACGUGCUAAUCUGCGAUAAGCGUCGGUAAGGUGAUAUGAACCGUUAUAACCGGCGAUUUCCGAAUGGGGAAACCCAGUGUGUUUCGACACACUAUCAUUAACUGAAUCCAUAGGUUAAUGAGGCGAACCGGGGGAACUGAAACAUCUAAGUACCCCGAGGAAAAGAAAUCAACCGAGAUUCCCCCAGUAGCGGCGAGCGAACGGGGAGCAGCCCAGAGCCUGAAUCAGUGUGUGUGUUAGUGGAAGCGUCUGGAAAGGCGCGCGAUACAGGGUGACAGCCCCGUACACAAAAAUGCACAUACUGUGAGCUCGAUGAGUAGGGCGGGACACGUGGUAUCCUGUCUGAAUAUGGGGGGACCAUCCUCCAAGGCUAAAUACUCCUGACUGACCGAUAGUGAACCAGUACCGUGAGGGAAAGGCGAAAAGAACCCCGGCGAGGGGAGUGAAAAAGAACCUGAAACCGUGUACGUACAAGCAGUGGGAGCACGCUUCGGCGUGUGACUGCGUACCUUUUGUAUAAUGGGUCAGCGACUUAUAUUCUGUAGCAAGGUUAACCGAAUAGGGGAGCCGAAGGGAAACCGAGUCUUAACUGGGCGUUAAGUUGCAGGGUAUAGACCCGAAACCCGGUGAUCUAGCCAUGGGCAGGUUGAAGGUUGGGUAACACUAACUGGAGGACCGAACCGACUAAUGUUGAAAAAUUAGCGGAUGACUUGUGGCUGGGGGUGAAAGGCCAAUCAAACCGGGAGAUAGCUGGUUCUCCCCGAAAGCUAUUUAGGUAGCGCCUCGUGAAUUCAUCUCCGGGGGUAGAGCACUGUUUCGGCAAGGGGGUCAUCCCGACUUACCAACCCGAUGCAAACUGCGAAUACCGGAGAAUGUUAUCACGGGAGACACACGGCGGGUGCUAACGUC